CCAAUAGCGUAUAUUAAAGUUGUUGCAGUUAAAAAGCUCGUAGUUGAAUUUCGGGAUUGACGUGACGGUCGUGCCUUAAGGGGUAUGAACUGUUGCAGUCAAUUUCUCACCUUCUGGAGAAAUAUGAUGUCCUUAAUUGGGUGUCAUAUGGAACCAGAACUUUUACCUUGAAAAAAUUAGAGUGUUUAAAGCAGGCAUAUUGCUCGAAUACAUUAGCAUGGAAUAAUAGAAUAGGACGGCAUGGUUCUAUUUUGUUGGUUUCUAGGAUCACCGUAAUGAUUAAUAGGGAUAGUUAGGGGCAUUAGUAUUCAAUUGUCAGAGGUGAAAUUCUUGGAUUUAUUGAAGACUAACUACUGCGAAAGCAUUUGCCAAGGAUGUUUUCAUUAAUCAAGAACGAAAGUUAGGGGAUCGAAGACGAUCAGAUACCGUCGUAGUCUUAACCAUAAACUAUGCCGACUAGGAAUCAGACGAUGUUAAUUUUUUAAUGACUCGUUUGGCACCUUACG
rnacentral:rRNA from 1 species